UCUGUGCAGCAAAGGCUGUUCUUUCUAAAACAGAAGAAACCAGUUCAAGAAGGGCUGAGCCACAGAAGAGGAGGAGUACUGAAGCACCGUGGCCUUCACAGAUAAACUUGUUUGGUUCUCUAAAAAUAGUGGCUUGUGAGAACUUCUUGGAAGGGGAGCAGGUUUGGAAGGGCAUGAUGUGACUGGUGAGAGCUAAUCUACAGAGAAAGGAGAAGCCUAUUUAAAAAUGGAUGACCUCAGAUCGGUAAAGAACAAUAUAUGAAAUAAAAGGAUGCCAGAGGCUGCUGCUGUGCUGGGGAUGUGAAAUACCACGUUAAAGUGUCACGUCUUGCUGGAGAGGUUGUUUUUAGGGAGCAGGCAAGCUCCUUCUAAUAUGUGCCAGUGAUGUGUGGCCCAAACAAAUGUGCUGUCACCAUUUGACAAGAAAGAUCUGUACUGAAAGCAUCAAAUGUAGA